GCCCUGCUGAGUUUUGAUAGACUGCCGUUCUUCAUCGAGCUUUCAGGAACUCAUUCAGGUGGGGUCUGAAGAUUCUGUGAAGAUUUCAGAUAAAAAUGAACUUCAAAUGGAUCUGGCUGGUGGCCAUUCUCAUGAUCGUAGGAUUGGCUAGUGUGGCAGAAGCCAGGCGUGGUGGGGGCCGAGGUGGCCGAGGAGGCCGAGGUGGAGGCCGAGGUGGCAGAGGAGGCAGAGGUGGAGGUCGAGGCGGCGGAGGUCGCGGUGGCAGAGGAGGCCGAGGUGGUGGAGGCCGAGGUGGUCGAGGUGGCCGAGGCUGAGGAGCAAAGUAGAACGAAAUGAAGGCACAGACCAGGAACAUCCGACAACGGCAUCCCUCCAAGACAAAAACAGAAAACAAAAUGCUAGUGUAGCAGUCGCUUUCAACAUUUCCUGUUCUCUACCCCGAUUUUCUGCUUCUUUCCUUGUCAGGGAGGUCAGUCCACAUCUGUCUGCACACAACAACUGCAAAUCAUCUCCCCAAAAAGCUAAAAACCAGGCAUAGGCAAACUCGGCCCUCCAGAUGUUUUGGGACUACAACUCCCAUCAACCCCAGCUAAGAGGACCAGUGGUCAGGGCAGUCUCAAGCAGGUCGGCCGCCCUGGCGCUGAAGGGCAGAGAUCGCUCCGGUGCCCCCGCCCUCGCAUGGCAAUGCAUGGUUUCCCCGCGGCUUCGCCACACGGCGCCCUGCCUACCAGCCUGGUGUGCUGGUGCACCGCACCACCGGGGGGUCUACCUAGCGCCGGCCCUGCCAGUGGUCAGGGAUGAUGGGAGUUGUAGUCCCAAAACAUCUGGAGGGCCGAGUUUGCCUAUGCCUGUUUUAUAGCUUUUGGGGGAGAUAAAUGUAGCUAAUUAGUCUCAGCUCCAUGGUAUUUUUUGCCAACCUUUGCUAUUACUCUUGAGAAUGUAGAAAUGCAUUUUAUUUCCCCCUGUUUGCAUUAUUUUUGUGAAACUUUCUUGCACAUUCAGCAUAUUAAAGCAUUGCAAAAAA